rnacentral:SRP_RNA from 1 species
GAUGUUGAAAAAGCGGUUUCCGCCGCCAAAGAAGGCGGCAUGGAGAUUUUCGAACCUGAUCAGGCUCUGACGGAAGCGCUGGCGGAAUUUGUAACUGCCGACG